rnacentral:rRNA from 1 species
UAGGGAAUCUUCGGCAAUGGGCGAAAGUCUGUCCGAGCAACGCCGCGUGAGUGAAGAAGGUUUUCGGAUCGUAAAACUCUGUUGGUAGAGAAGAACGUUGGUGAGAGUGGAAAGCUCUUCAAGUGACGGUAACUACCCAGAAAGGGACGGCUAACUACGUGCCAG